rnacentral:rRNA from 1 species
AUUGAACGCUGGCGGCAUGCUUUACACAUGCAAGUCGAACGGUAACAGGUUAAGCUGACGAGUGGCGAACGGGUGAGUAAUGCAUCGGAACGUGCCCGGUCGUGGGGGAUAACGCAGCGAAAGCUGCGCUAAUACCGCAUACGAUCUAAGGAUGAAAGCGGGGGACCGCAAGGCCUCAUGCUAUAGGAGCGGCCGAUGUCUGAUUAGCUAGUUGGUGGGGUAAAGGCCUACCAAGGCGACGAUCAGUAGCUGGUCUGAGAGGACGAUCAGCCACACUGGGACUGAGACAAGGCCGAGACUCCUACGGGAGGGAGCAGUGGGGAAUUUUGGACAAUGGGCGAAAGCCUGAUGCAGCCAUGCCGGGUGUAUGAAGAAGGCCUUCGGGUUGUAAAGUACUUUCAGCGGGGAGGAAGGCGAUACGGUUAAUAACCGUGUUGAUUGACGUUACCCGCAGAAGAAGCACCGGCUAACUCCGUGCCAGCAGCCGCCGUAA